UGUUUAUUUUUUAGUUAUUUUUUUAUACAAUUUUUUGACUCUUUUUUUUUACUAUUAUUUAUUUUAUUUAUAUAUUUAUUUCUGCAGAAUCGUUCCGCCGCAACGCGCGGGUCCUUCACUAGUUGCAUAUUAAGAGAGAGCCAAGACGCCGGCUAAUUAAGGCCAAUUUUUUUUGGUCCGUACGGGUCGAGAGAGAAGCCACUUUGGAGUUGCUCGUUGCGGCGUUUCCGAUCUAAUUAAACUUUGGUUCUUUUAAGAGAUCUUCUUUGUACUCCGCCUUUUCGAUAUUAAUAAAUUAUUUGCUCCGUCUUCGCCCGUGGACGUAUGCCGUUGGCCGAACCACGUAAAUAUCGAAAGGAAAGGAAGGAGAAGAAGAGAAGAAAGGAGAAGAAGGAAAGGAAAGAGAAGAAGAUCGAGAAGGGGAUCGUCGUCACCCUCUUCUUCUUCCUCGUGCUUGGAGCAUCUUGGAAAGGUCUGUGAACGCGUUGGCGAAGUCGGUUUGACGAUUCGUCGAGCUGGUACAAAGAUAUUGAAGAAACGGACGUUCGAGCUUCGUUUCCGCCUGCAGGGCCGAGGCGGCGUCCAUAAAUCGUGAAAACGGAUUCCGAGCAUCGUGGCAACUAACUGAAGAUCUAUAAUUCCCGAAACUGCAAAGCCACGCACAGUUGGUGUGCAACUACGAAAUCGGGCCAAACCGGGUGCCGAGUGCCGCGGGAGGCCGAUUGCAAGUGUCGACAAGCAAUCGGAGAGCGAAUCAAGGUUUGCACGUGAGCGGCGCGGCGGCGCGAGGCAAGGGCGUAGCUCCAUAGAUAGCGCCCUACCCCAGAGACCAGAGGUAGCAGUACCCAGAGGUGGUCGAGCUUAGAGGUUUGAAAAACAGAAAACAAACUUGUAAUAUUUGUGAUAAUCGGAUUGUAUUUUGGAAGUUCAAUGUAAACAAAUGUAUUAUGUGGAACUUGAGAAUGAAUGCUUGUAAUAACAUAGGAUGUGUUAUGUUUUUGA